AGCAGCCGCGGUAAUUCCAGCUCCAAUAGCGUAUAUUAAAGUUGUUGCAGUUAAAAAGCUCGUAGUUGAAUUUCGGGGUUAGUAGGUUGGUCAUGCCUCUGGUAUGUACUGGUCUCACUGAUUCCUCCUUCCUGAUGAACCUUAAUGCCAUUUAUUUGGUGUUUUGGGGAAUUUGGACUGUUACUUUGAAAAAUUAGAGUGUUUAAAGCAAGCUAACGCUUGAAUACAUUAGCAUGGAAUAAUGAAAUAGGACGUUAGAUCCUAUUUUGUUGGUUUCUAGGAUUGACGUAAUGAUUAAUAGGGAUAGUUGGGGGCAUUAGUAUUCAAUUGUCAGAGGUGAAAUUCUUGGAUUUAUUGAAGACUAACUACUGCGAAAGCAUUUGCCAAGGAUGUUUUCAUUAAUCAAGAACGAAAGUUAGGGGAUCGAAGACGAUCAGAUACCGUCGUAGUCUUAACCAUAAACUAUGCCGACUAGGGAUCGGAUGAUGUUAAUUUUUAAUGACUCAUUCGGCGCCUUACG
rnacentral:misc_RNA from 1 species